GAUGAACGCUAGCUACAGGCUUAACACAUGCAAGUCGAGGGGCAGCAUGAUUGAAGCUUGCUUCAAUCGAUGGCGACCGGCGCACGGGUGAGUAACACGUAUCCAACCUGCCGAUAACUCGGGGAUAGCCUUUCGAAAGAAAGAUUAAUACCCGAUAGUAUAGUAUUUCCGCAUGGUUUCACUAUUAAAGAACUUCGGUUAUCGAUGGGGAUGCGUUCCAUUAGAUAGUUGGCGGGGUAACGGCCCACCAAGUCAACGAUGGAUAAGGGUUCUGAGAGUAAGGUCCCCCACAGUGUGACUGAGACACGGUCCAAACUCCUACGGGAGGCAGCAGUGAGGAAUAUUGGUCAAUGGACGAGAGUCUGAACCAGCCAAGUAGCGUGAAGGAUGACUGCCCUAGGGGUUGUAAACUUCUUUUAUACGGGAAUAAAGUGGAGUAUGCAUACUCCUUUGUAUGUACCGUAUGAAUAAGGAUCGGCUAACUCCGUG
rnacentral:rRNA from 1 species